ACUGUCUUCUCUAUGGUUAAAUUAAAGUUCAGCGUCUCCACUUGCCUCUCCUCUCAUUUCUUUCGGAAAGCGGAAACCAGACGACCCAGCGGCCAUGGGACGAGCCGCCCCAACUCAACCCCAGCAGGACGCUGGAGGGGCCUCCCUCCCCCGCCUCUCUUCGCCGGCGCUGGCCUCCCGCACCCGGGUCUGCAGUCCCUCCGCCAUCUCGCAGGAGGAGUUGAGGCACCUUGAAUAUUCCUUCGCGAGUUUGGAGACUAGCCGAUUUUUCAUGAAGCAAGCAAAGACCGCGGUCCCGGAUCCUGCAACUUCUACCUCAUUUUCUCCAGGCCUCUCCACUUGCCCGAGCUCUCAGCCACCAGGAGACAGACGGAAGGGGCUUCUGGAUUGCGUUGGGAGCGGGCACUGUCCCCUACCCACUCCUGCUCAGUUUCCCAAAGUCCAGCGACUUCCGACCCUCCUUGGGGGGAAAAAUACCAGUACCCAGACACCUUUGCACCCUGUUAUAUGACUGGGCUUGCUUCAGGAAUAUCUUACAAAGAAGAAGAAGAAGAAAGAACGGCUUGGAGUCAUGUUUACAUCUAGUUCUACUGAUCCGUUCACAUCUGGAGAGUUUAUUUAUAACUCCCUCUAUAACUCUCUGUUUGGAGACACUGUGGCUCUAUUGACAGACUGAUAUCUAGGAAAUAUUGCUCUAUGUCUAACCGUACCUAAAUGUGCUGUGGUUGUAUUUACAGAUUUAUGUUUGAGGGAAAUAUAACUAUUUCCAUUGUA